rnacentral:rRNA from 1 species
AAGUCGUAACAAGGUUCCCGUAGGUGAACCUGCGGAAGGAUCAUUAAGUGCUAGGCGGUUCAGCCCGUCUGGGUUCUCCCACGAUGCAAGUCGUGUGCCGCGGACGAUUUAAUCCCUGAGAUUACUUCUCCGACGUGAGUUCCUUCAGCCAACCCUUUGUUAAUUCUACCUUUGUUGCUUUGGCAGGACGCUUUUUAAGCUCGCGGCUUCGGCUGCGACGUGCCUGCCAGAGGACCCAACCCUUGAUUUUAGUGAUGUCUGAGUACUAUAUAAUAGUUAAAACUUUCAACAACGGAUCUCUUGGUUCUGGCAUCGAUGAAGAACGCAGCGAAAUGCGAUAAGUAAUGUGAAUUGCAGAAUUCAGUGAAUCAUCGAAUCUUUGAACGCACAUUGCGCCCGGUGGUAUUCCGCCGGGCAUGCCUGUUCGAGCGUCAUUAGUCCAAAUCACGUCUAACGUGGUCUUGGGGCCUGCCUCUGGGCAGCCCUUAAACGCAGUGGCGGCGCCGUCUGGCUCUAAGCGUAGUAAUUCUUCUCGCUAUAGGGUCCUGCGGAUGCUUGCCAGCAACCCCCAAUACACUAGGUUUGACCUCGGAUCAGGUAGGGAUACCCGCUGAACUUAGGCAUAUCAAUAAGCGGAGGAAAAGAAACCAACAGGGAUUACCUCAGUAACGGCGAGUGAAGCGGUAACAGCUCAAAUUUGAAAUCUGGCUCUUUUAGGGUCCGAGUUGUAAUUUGUAGAAGAUGCUUUGGGUGUGGCCCUGGUCUAAGUUCCUUGGAACAGGACGUCAUAGAGGGUGAGAAUCCCGUAUGUGACUGGGUGUCCACGCCCGUGUAAAGCUCUUUCGACGAGUCGAGUUGUUUGGGAAUGCAGCUCAAAAUGGGUGGUAAAUUUCAUCUAAAGCUAAAUAUUGGCCAGAGACCGAUAGCGCACAAGUAGAGUGAUCGAAAGAUGAAAAGCACUUUGGAAAGAGAGUUAAACAGUACGUGAAAUUGUUGAAAGGGAAGCGCUUGCAAUCAGACUUGCGGGCCGUUGAUCAUCCAGGGUUCUCCCUGGUGCACUCUGCGGCGCUCAGGCCAGCAUCGGUUCGGGUGGUGGGAUAAAGGCUUAGGGAAUGUAGCUCCUCUCGGGGAGUGUUAUAGCCCUAGGUGUAAUGCCACCUACCUGGACCGAGGACCGCGCUUCGGCUAGGAUGCUGGCGUAAUGGUUGUAAGCGACC